rnacentral:rRNA from 1 species
CUCUUCUUGUAUUAUUUAUGAAGUAUGGCCUGCCCAAUGAGUUUUGAAUGGCCGCGGUAUCUUGACCGUGCAAAGGUAGCAUAAUCAUUAGUCUUUUUAUUGGGGACUGGAAUGAAUGGUUUGACGAGAUAAGAUCUGUCUUUAUAUUAUUUAGUAGAAUUUAAUUUCUGAGUAAAAAAGCUUAGAUAUAAUUAUGGGACGAGAAGACCCUAUAGAGUUUAUAUAAUAAUAAUUUUGUUUAUAAAUAGUAUGUUUAUUAAUAUUAAUUAUAAUUAUUUAGUUGGGGUGAUUGGAAGAUAGUAGUAACUCUUCUUGAUUAAUAAAUAUUAAUUAGUAGUAUUUUGAUCCAUUAUUAAUGAUUAAAAGACUAAAUUACCUUAGGGAUAACAGCGUAAUCUUUUUUGAGAGUUCUAAUUGACAAUAAGGGUUGCGA